rnacentral:rRNA from 1 species
CCUACGGGUGGCAGCAGUGAGGAAUAUUGGUCAAUGGACGAGAGUCUGAACCAGCCAAGUCGCGUGAAGGAUGACUGCCCUAUGGGUUGUAAACUUCUUUUAUAUGGGAAUAAAAUGUUCCACGUGUGGGAUUUUGUAUGUACCCUAUGAAUAAGGAUCGGCUAACUCCGUGCCAGCAGCCGCGGUAAUACGGAGGAUCCGAGCGUUAUCCGGAUUUAUUGGGUUUAAAGGGUGCGUAGGUGGAUUGUUAAGUCAGUUGUGAAAGUUUGCGGCUCAACCGUAAAAUGGCAGUUGAAACUGGCAGUCUUGAGUACAGUAGAGGUGGGCGGAAUGCGUGGUGUAGCGGUGAAAUGCUUAGAUAUCACGAAGAACUCCGAUUGCGAAGGCAGUUCACUGGACUGCAACUGACACUGAGGCUCGAAAGUGUGGGUAUCAAACAGGAUUAGAUACCCCAGUAGUC